rnacentral:lncRNA from 1 species
UCAAAGAAAAGAGAAAUUAACAAGAUAGAAUAUGACUAAUCAAAUGACACCAUCUGACAUCUCGAUUGGUUCAAGCAAGAUGAUUUAGUCAAAUCAUGAAUAAACUAAUGUACAUAUGGUCUAACAGAAAUCAUGGAUAAUCAAAUUUAGGAGAAUCUAGUUAGUCUAUGAUCAAUGCUAGCAUAUGAUUCAGCAACCACAAUCAGGAC